rnacentral:rRNA from 1 species
AUUCCGGUUGAUCCUGCCGGAAGCCAUUGCUAUCGGAGUCCGAUUUAGCCAUGCUAGUCGUGCGAGUUCAGACUCGCGGCACCGAGCUCAGUAACACGUGGCCAAACUACCCUACAGAGACGGAUACCCUCGGGAAACUGAGGUUAACCCGUCAUACCGAUCUCAGGCUUGAAUCGCAGAGAUCACAAAACGCCCCGGCGCUGUAGGAUGUGGCUGCGGUUGAUUAGGUAGACGGGGGGGUAACGGCCCACCGUGCCCAUAAUCAGUACAGGUUGUGAGAGCAAGAACCUGGAGACGGAAUCUGAGACAAGAUUCCGGGCCCUACGGGGCGCAGCAGGCGCGAAACCUUUACACUGCACGCACGUGCGAUAAGGGGACUCCGAGUGCGAGGGCAUAUCGUCCUCGCUUUCGUGUACCGUAGGGUGGUACACCAACAAGGGCUGGGCAAGACCGGUGCCAGCCGCCGCGGUAAUACCGGCAGCCCGAGUGAUGGCCGAUCUUAUUGGGCCUAAAGCGUCCGUAGCUAAGGGC